UAUUGUUUUUCCUUGGGAGGUAUAGUGCAGAACUUAUCCAUGACCGGAAAUUACUUGUUUCUGGAAUACAAUCUAUAUCAUUAAAAUGGGAUGGUUUACCCAGAGUUGGUUCGAAAACCUACUCUCACAAGAUCACUUCAUCAGCCACUCCGACCUUUAAGCACUUGUUUUUAUGUACCUCCCUUCAUUUUUGUGUAGUUAUUUAAUAAUUAUUAAUUUGCCUAUAUUAGGCAAUCCUUGGCCCAGCACAACGCGGAAUAUUAUUGUGCAUUACAUGAGAACACAACUUGAUCUUGACACAAAAUUAGCAAAUUUAGAUCCACAGUAAUCAUAAUUGUGUUGAAAAUAUAUAUUUUUCUGUACUAAAUUUAACUUUUAUCCAAGACACAUGCGUUGAGAACACAACUUGAUCUUGACAGGACAUGUUUAGAUCCGCAGUAAUCAUAUCCGUGUUGAAAAUAUAUAUUUUUCUGUACAAUCUGAUUUCUAUCCAAUACACAUGUUGAUUUUUGAACUUGAAAGUAAAAAGGUGCAUCUUAACAUGGAUUUACCAAGAAGUGUUCUCUAGUAACCUUUUACAUGUCAAAAUCAUGUCGAUCGAUCAUGUGUUAAUUUGGUGUCUUACAAGUAAAUUUUGGACUUCCAAACUUAUCACUUGAGAAGGCAAUAAUAUUUUUCAAGAAAAGUAGAUUAUUGACUACACGGCAUGUAAAUUAUCAAUUUAAAUAAGCGGUGCCUUCAACUUUUUGUCUUAAAUGACUGUGUGCUUAAUAUAUAUCCACUCACGUACUUCUUUCUAGGUGUUUACUGAAAGAUUAUUCUUGAUACAACUAUUGAUCCUAGACAAAAUUCAAUUGAACUAAUAAUAUAUUUUCUAUUCUCAUCAUGCUGAAGGCAUCACAUAGCAGCUCAUUAUAUGCUUCUGAUGACAUGCCAUAUUAUGGUGUCUUGACAUAAUCAUUCCAGGUUACUUCGUGACACGUGGAUUGACUGUGAAAUGAAACAUGUAGACACAGCCUAUUUCCAAAAUGAUGGUGCUCAUCUGUUGAUGGUGUGACCUUAUAGUUCAUGUAAUAGGCGAAAGGACUUCCCGUUUCCAGCUCGAUCAAAUGAUGCUGAGCUCUCAGUUUAUAAUGGUGAUAGGUUGUAGGAGAGUGGGAGUGGCAAUGUAAAUGUGGACAAGAAUAUGCAAUGUGUCAGAUGCAGUUUGUAUAAAGAAAUUUUUUUUUGGUGUCGAGAUCUGCAUAUGUAGAUUUUACUCAACUAUUGAAGUUCACUGGUGACGCUUGACUAUCUUUUCUU